GCAGGCCUGGUCACGCCUCCAAACCGGCAGUGACGCAGCGCGUAGAAUCGAUAGCGUGAAUGCCGGUUUUAGAAAUUCGCGUUCUUUGUGUUGUGAUCUCAUUCAUUUCAGUCGUGACUAGUAAACUUAAUUAUAACUUGUUAGCAUAUCGUGUUAGACAGACAUUAUAAUGGCAAACCAAGAUACAACUAUGGAAAACGGCGAAGAUUUCUCCCAGGAUGUUACUGGAGAUCAAAGUUUAGAUCAACAUAAUGGUGGCGGUGACGCUCCAGUGACCGACAGUGGAUCAGCAGAUAAGCCCGGCAAAGAUGACGAUAGAAAAUUAUUUGUUGGUGGCUUAAGUUGGGAAACAACAGACAAGGAGCUGCGAGAGUAUUUCGGAAAGUAUGGCGAAAUCGAAAGCAUAAACGUUAAAACAGAUUCGAUGACGGGACGAUCUAGAGGAUUUGCCUUCAUCGUAUUCCAAGAUGCUGCCUCAAUCGAUAGAGUAUCAGCUGCAGGAGAGCAUACUAUUAACGGCAAGAAAGUCGACCCCAAAAAAGCGAAAGCUAGACACGGUAAAAUCUUCGUUGGAGGUAUUUCUCCUGAAUUGAGCGACGAUGACAUCAAUGAAUACUUUGGACAGUACGGAACCAUCAUGGAGGUAGAAAUGCCAUUCGAUAAACAAAAGAAUCAGAGGAAAGGUUUCUGUUUCAUCACCUUCGAAUCAGAACAAGUUGUCGCUGAUUUAUUAAAAAGGCCGAAGCAAGUCAUCAAAGAUAAAGAGGUGGAUGUAAAGAAAGCCACUCCAAAACCCGAUCAAAUGAUGGGCCGCGGUAUGAGAGGAGGUAGAGGAGGACCAAGAGGAAGAGGAGGUCGUGGCUUUGGCCAAAACUGGGGUCAAGGUGGUUAUGGAUAUGGCAGUUACAACCAAGGCUAUGGGUAUGAUGGUGGUUACGGUACUGGUGGUUUCAACGACUAUUAUGGCGGUGGAUAUGGUAAUUACGGCAACUACGAUUAUUCAGGAUAUAGCGGAAACUACGGCAUGCAGACCGGCUCAUCUAGCUAGUUAUUAUUGGCAGCAUCCAUUUUUUUUGCAUGGUAGUUUUGCUACCGUUCCAAGAUAUUGGAAUGUACAUAUUUUCAAAGUCAAAAACGUGAAUUCUGCUUUUCAGCACGUGUAGAUCCUAAAAGGCCAAAAAACUUUAGCAAAGAACAAUAUUUUGAAUAAAUAAAGUUUCAAACUCGUACAAGCUCAAACACUCAAACAGAACAACUUUACUGUAAGUAAAAACAUUAUUUUUAAGAGUGACGCAAAUAGACGUGACUUUAUAGUUAGAGAGCUUCUUUACAUUAGAAACAUUUUGGAAGUUAUAUUAUGCUCUAAGCUGUAUUGUUCCAGUUCAGGUUAAGCAAUAGCAUUUUUUUUCGUGCCGCAAAGUUAUAAAUUUUAUUAUUUUCGUAAAUGCCAACGAUGGAGCCUAAGAACACACCAUUGUUUUUGUUAUCCGAGUUGCGCUGGGGUCUUAAGAAGAACACCAUUGGUUUUCGUAAAGUUAAUGUACUUGCUUAGUUAAUACCCCGUUCGCCUAAAUCGUUUGUGCAAAGUUGAAGCCAAACGCAACAAAUGUAUGUGAAUGUAUUAGCGUAGUUGCAGCAAUCGUCUUGAAGAACACAACUAAAAAAAAUAGGUUGUCUCUAACCAAACAGGACAGUACAUUCAGUGGUGUGUGGCUCCGGUGGAACUUAAACGUUAUUACAAAGUGAUGAUUAAGGCAUAGUGGUUCGAGUGGUGGAGGCUUCCAGGGUAAAACCAGGGGGGCGAGCACUAGCAGAGUGAGUAACCAGAGGCAUCAGCCUUACUGAGACAACGUUGGAUACUAGUAUUAAGUGUUUCCUAAAUAUCCACGUAAAAUAGUCAUUGUUUCCUUGAAGUCAUUCCACAUCUAGGAAAAUACUUGUACAAAUCAGACCCGACAACUUUUUACGAGUAGUUUAGAGACUGUUCAUAAAAAUUAUUUUAAUUUUGUAACACUAUGAAUAGACCUUCAAGAAAGCUAGACAUGCAAUUACACAGCCAUGUCUUUGAAAAUAUUUUGUUAUUUUUAUUAACUUUUUUGGUUUAUUUAAAACGCGUAAAUCGAAAAGUGAAGUGAUUUUCAUCUCUAUCAAUAGUGAGACAGUGGACUCUAUAAUUUUGUACAAUAUUGCAUAUUAGUAAUAUAAAAUUAGUCAAUAAACACUGAUAUGGAUGUGUAACAUUAAAAUUAAUCCAGAAUGGUGCAAUCUGCUGUUGCACUGGCAAACAUGUUUUGUUUUUGAUAUUGUUUGAUUAUUUUAUGAACUUAAUGGUAGCCAUACUCUUUUAAAUUUAAGAUAAAUGUAAGUGAGCGUACUUCCGUUGUGUGGCAAGGAUUUAUUUAAUAAAGAUAGGUGAAUGAA